rnacentral:rRNA from 1 species
UACGUAGGUGGCAAGCGUUGUCCGGAUUUACUGGGCGUAAAGAGCGUGUAGGCGGUCCGGUAAGUCAGCUGUGAAAGUCAAGGGCUCAACCCUUGAAAGCCGGUUGAUACUGUCGGGCUAGAGUCCGGAAGAGGCGAGUGGAAUUCCCGGUGUAGCGGUGAAAUGCGCAGAUAUCGGGAGGAACACCAAUGGCGAAGGCAGCUCGCUGGGACGGUACUGACGCUGAGACGCGAAAGCGUGGGGAGCAAACAGG